AUGAACGCUAGCUACAGGCUUAACACAUGCAAGUCGAGGGGCAGCAUUUUAGUUUGCUUGCAAACUGAAGAUGGCGACCGGCGCACGGGUGAGUAACACGUAUCCAACCUGCCGAUAACUCCGGAAUAGCCUUUCGAAAGAAAGAUUAAUACCGGAUAGUAUACGAAUAUCGCAUGAUAUUUUUAUUAAAGAAUUUCGGUUAUCGAUGGGGAUGCGUUCCAUUAGUUUGUUGGCGGGGUAACGGCCCACCAAGACUACGAUGGAUAGGGGUUCUGAGAGGAAGGUCCCCCACAUUGGAACUGAGACACGGUCCAAACUCCUACGGGAGGCAGCAGUGAGGAAUAUUGGUCAAUGGGCGCGAGCCUGAACCAGCCAAGUAGCGUGAAGGAUGAAGGCUCUAUGGGUCGUAAACUUCUUUUAUAUGGGAAUAAAGUUUUCCACGUGUGGAAUUUUGUAUGUACCAUAUGAAUAAGGAUCGGCUAACUCCGUGCCAGCAGCCGCGGUAAUACGGAGGAUCCGAGCGUUAUCCGGAUUUAUUGGGUUUAAAGGGAGCGUAGGUGGAUUGUUAAGUCAGUUGUGAAAGUUUGCGGCUCAACCGUAAAAUUGCAGUUGAAACUGGCAGUCUUGAGUACAGUAGAGGUGGGCGGAAUUCGUGGUGUAGCGGUGAAAUGCUUAGAUAUCACGAAGAACUCCGAUUGCGAAGGCAGCUCACUAGACUGUCACUGACACUGAUGCUCGAAAGUGUGGGUAUCAAACAGGAUUAGAUACCCUGGUAGUCCACACAGUAAACGAUGAAUACUCGCUGUUUGCGAUAUACAGUAAGCGGCCAAGCGAAAGCAUUAAGUAUUCCACCUGGGGAGUACGCCGGCAACGGUGAAACUCAAAGGAAUUGACGGGGGCCCGCACAAGCGGAGGAACAUGUGGUUUAAUUCGAUGAUACGCGAGGAACCUUACCCGGGCUUAAAUUGCAACAGAAUAUAUUGGAAACAGUAUAGCCGUAAGGCUGUUGUGAAGGUGCUGCAUGGUUGUCGUCAGCUCGUGCCGUGAGGUGUCGGCUUAAGUGCCAUAACGAGCGCAACCCUUAUCUUUAGUUACUAACAGGUUAUGCUGAGGACUCUAGAGAGACUGCCGUCGUAAGAUGUGAGGAGGGUGGGGAUGACGUCAAAUCAGCACGGCCCUUACGUCCGGGGCUACACACGUGUUACAAUGGGGGGUACAGAAGGCGGCUACCUGGUGACAGGAUGCUAAUCCCAAAAACCUCUCUCAGUUCGGAUCGAAGUCUGCAACCCGACUUCGUGAAGCUGGAUUCGCUAGUAAUCGCGCAUCAGCCAUGGCGCGGUGAAUACGUUCCCGGGCCUUGUACACACCGCCCGUCAAGCCAUGAAAGCCGGGGGUACCUGAAGUACGUAACCGCAAGGAGCGUCCUAGGGUAAAACUGGUAAUUGGGGCU
rnacentral:rRNA from 1 species